rnacentral:rRNA from 1 species
ACUCCUACGGGAGGCAGCAGUAGGGAAUAUUGGGCAAUGGGCGAAAGCCUGACCCAGCGACGCCGCGUGAGGGAUGAAGGUCUUCGGAUUGUAAACCUCUUUCAGUAGGGAAGAAGCGAAAGUGACGGUACCUAAAGAAGAAGCACCGGCUAACUAUGUGCCAGCAGCCGCGGUAAUAC